UACGUAGGUGGCAAGCGUUGCCCGGAAUUAUUGGGCGUAAAGCGCGCGCAGGCGGCCUUUUAAGUCUGAUGUGAAAGCCCACGGCUCAACCGUGGAAGGUCAUUGGAAACUGAAAGGCUUGAGUACAGAAGAGGAAAGCGGAAUUCCACGUGUAGCGGUGAAAUGCGUAGAGAUGUGGAGGAACACCAGUGGCGAAGGCGGCUUUCUGGUCUGUAACUGACGCUGAGGCGCGAAAGCGUGGGGAGCAAACAGG
rnacentral:rRNA from 1 species